UGUUUGGUGCUAAUCGAUGGUUUUAUUUUUUUCUAACGAAAAAAAGUUAAACUUCUCUGGUGUCAGCUUGUUUAAUGUGAAUGUCUUCUAGUGUCUUCUCUGCUCUGGGACAGUAAGCUGAAUGUCUUUGAGUUGUGGACAAAAC